UACGAAGGGGGCUAGCGUUGUUCGGAAUUAUUGGGCGUAAAGAGCUCGUAGGCGGUCUGUUGCGUCCGCUGUGAAAACUCGGGGCUUAACCCCGAGCCUGCAGUGGAUACGGGCAGACUAGAGGUAGGUAGGGGAGAGUGGAAUUCCUGGUGUAGCGGUGAAAUGCGCAGAUAUCAGGAAGAACACCCGUGGCUAAGGCGGCUCUCUAGUACGGUACUGACGCUGAGACGCGAAAGCGUGGGGAGCGAACAGG
rnacentral:rRNA from 1 species